rnacentral:lncRNA from 1 species
GACUGAUGUGGGCUGGACUGACGUGGGCUGCUGAGGGACAACGGGUGACGGGGAGGGUCGUGGUUGGGUCAGAGGGAUGGUGUAAUGAAUGUCUAAAGCUUGAGGCAGCGCUCUCAUGACCAGGGACUUGAAGUUUGUAAACUCGUUUCUCAAGUCACUGUAUUCUUCUUUCAAAUCACGAUUUUCCUGGUCACGUUGUUGUAGUAGCUGUGUCAAACACUUGAUGGCCUCGUCAGC